rnacentral:rRNA from 1 species
GACGAACGCUGGCGGCGUGCUUAACACAUGCAAGUCGAACGGAAAGGCCCUGCAUUUGUGGGGUGCUCGAGUGGCGAACGGAUGAGUAACAAGUGCGUAACCUGCCCUUGACUUUGGGAUAACUACAGGAAACUGGGGACAAUACCUGAUAGGUACUCCUGCUGCAUGGCGUGGGUUGGAAAUUAUCGGCGGCUGGGGCUGGACGCGCGGCACAUCAGCUUGUUGGUGGGGCAGUGGCUUACCAAGGCUUUGACGGGGAGCCGGACUGCGAGGGUGACCGGCCACAGUGGGACUGAGAUGGGGCCAGGACUCCUACUGGAGGCAGCAGUGAGAGAUAGUGCGCGAUGGGCGGAAGCCGGAUGCAGCAACGCCGCGUGCUGGAUGACGGCCAUCGGGGUGGAAACCGCUUUCGCCGGUGAGGAAGCGUGAUUGACGGUAAUGGGUAAGAAAGCACCGGCUAACUACGUG